rnacentral:rRNA from 1 species
CCUACGGGAGGCAGCAGUGGGGAAUAUUGCACAAUGGGGGAAACCCUGAUGCAGCAACGCCGCGUGAAGGAUGACGGUUUUCGGAUUGUAAACUUCUUUUCUUAGUGACGAAGACAGUGACGGUAGCUAAGGAAUAAGCAUCGGCUAACUACGUGCCAGCAGCCGCGGUAAUACGUAGGAUGCAAGCGUUAUCCGGAUUUACUGGGUGUAAAGGGAGCGCAGGCGGGACUGCAAGUUGGAUGUGAAAUACCGUGGCUUAACCACGGAACUGCAUCCAAAACUGUAGUUCUUGAGUGAAGUAGAGGCAAGCGGAAUUCCGAGUGUAGCGGUGAAAUGCGUAGAUAUUCGGAGGAACACCAGUGGCGAAGGCGGCUUGCUGGGCUUUAACUGACGCUGAGGCUCGAAAGUGUGGGGAGCAAACAGGAUUAGAUACCCUGGUAGUCCACACUGUAAACGAUGAUAGCUAGGUGUGGGGGGUCUGACCCCUUCCGUGCCGGAGUUAACGCAAUAAGCUAUCCACCUGGGGAGUACGACCGCAAGGUUGAAACUCAAAGGAAUUGACGGGGGCCCGCACAAGCAGUGGAUUAUGUGGUUUAAUUCGAAGCAACGCGAAGAACCUUACCAGGUCUUGACAUCCGACUAACGAGAUAGAGAUAUGUCAGGUGCCCUUCGGGGAAAGUCGAGACAGGUGGUGCAUGGUUGUCGUCAGCUCGUGUCGUGAGAUGUUGGGUUAAGU